UGGCCACAUAUGCUAGCAUUUACAAUUUUUAUUCUGAAGCUCCAUGUCUUCUUGGUUUUAAUGCUUCAUCCUAAAUUGUUUUGCUUUUGCUACAACUGCAGAUAACCGGACUUGCACUCUCAUUGCUUGACCCCGAUUACAUUUGUAUCCAAGGGGCUGAUUAUGAGUGCUCCAACAAGGAUGUAAUGGGCGGUUGGUGUGCUUCUGGUAGCAUCUUCUUGGCUGAAAAAAAGAGUGAAAUAAACAUGAUAGCAGACCCUGAAAAAGGGAGUGAAUAAGCAUGGUGGUAGAUCCUUGAAAAUGGAUAUCCUCAGAGGUUGUUCAGAUAUGUUCUCAUCUUUCGGAUUGGACGCUGCUGCUUAGGCAUCAGGAUUUUUAAGCAGCAAUCCUUAUUAGCAGUUAUGUCAAGCAGUCGUUGAUCCUCCAGUCAAGGCACCAAUUGACUUCUUCGAGAAG